UCUCUGGAGGACCAGUGGUUAGGCCGCAGCGCUCCAACCGCUGCAGCCCGGGUUCGAUUCCUGGCCAGGGAA